CUGUAAACCUCUGAAAGUGUCAAAUUAGAUAGAAGAGAAUUUAUAUUUUCUAAGGAAAUCUUUUGAAUCUUAUUGUUCAAGGUAUGAUUGACGUCCAAAGCCAACAAGGAGUUCUCCUUGCCAUCAUUUCUUUGACCUGCCUUGGUUGUGUUUAUGGUCUCUGUCUGUGCUGCAGAAAGAAAUCUUCUAUGCGACAAGAGGACAAUGACCUGUAUGACCAAGAUGAUUUCAAUCAGGACGGUAAAUUUACUGAUUGCAGAAAACCUACAACAGGUAUUUAAACAUUCCGAGGGGAAAAUGCAUCUCAUUUUAGACUUAGAUUUAGUGUCAGUGUUUUACCUUCAGAAUGCAAAACUAUUACUUUCACACACAUUUUCUGUCAGAGGAAAGCAGAAAUUCAAAAUGUGCUCAUCAUUAGCCAAGAAUGCGAUUUUAUUCAUAUCAUGUCUAUUUUUUUUUUUUAGCCCUAAGACCAAACCAAAGAGAGAUGCCUUCAACAUCAAGGCUGUCAACGAUGAACAGGCUUGUCAAUACAGGUGACAUCCACUGGAGUUAUCAAAACCUUCCAGAUGUAAAAAAUGGCAUCAUGGAACCAACAUAUGUGGACCCAAUUCCAAAUUCAAUUUAUGCAAACGAUGAUGACACAGAAGGAGAUCCAGGAACAUACGAGAAUAUUUUUCCAACAAAAAAAGUGCAACAUGACUCAGAUAGCUGUAAUUAUGUAAACUGGGACAUUGCAAAUGAGGAUGGUAAUAUAUUCAUUAUUAAACCAAUAGCAUUGAUAAAACAAAUCACAAAUGAACCAUUAUACAA